GACAUUGUUGUCUUAGUUGUUGCUGUAUUAUGGGGCCACGCAAAGUGAGAAAAAAAAACGGAACACCAACGCACAGGCAAGAAAGGCGACCACAAAGCGGGCCAAAUCAAAAGCGACCGCCGAAAACGAGCCAUUUUUUUCUUUCUUGUGUGUUUCCGAAUCGUAAAAACGGGUAUUUGUGAUAUUUUGAUAUUUGGUGAAUUGUGCAAACGAUUUCGAAUAAAAAUACUCAGUAACUUUAAUUGAAAACUAGAAUUAAAAGAUGCGCGAAGCGAAACGCGCACAGCACGAACAAACGCAAAGAAUAAAGUGAAAAAGAGGACCAAAGAGAGACGCGGUAUGCGAGAAAGAGAUGGCGCGGUUUCCAGUGAUGGUGGAGUGACAGUAAAUAGCAACAACAAAAGGUGAGAGAAGCACACAAAAUGACCCCACAGCAAGGGAGAGGAAGAAGAGCAAGCUGCACUCAGCUGUGCGCCUUCCAAUAAAAUUUAACUUCAAUUGGAAAAUUGCGAUACAAAAACAAAUCAACAAAACGACCUGAAAUAAACAAAACAAAGUGCAACAGGGCGCAUCACAUCAAUAUGUUUCAACAGCUGAUGCUAAUCAAAUUUUGGGGGGGCGCUUUUGUCUGUGCUUUGAUUUGUUUGGCAACAAAUUGAACACAUCAAAUGCAGGCGCUUUUUGUUUUUGGUUAAAGGUGGAAAUGGAAUUGAAAACGAAAGUGCAGCGCCGCUUCUCCCGCUUUCCCGUCUCCUACUAUUCCACUUAGCGGCUGCGUUGAAAGAUUUGCGGUACUUUGGCGGACAGAUGGCAACACGUGUUGUUGUGCCCCUCCCACCCCGCCCAAUUACUUUCUAUCGAGUGGGUUGUUUACCGUUCAGCCGUUGAACUUUCCAUUUAUUGCUGUUUCACCUUCGCUUCCAGCAUUUUCCAUUUAUUAUUGUUUCUUCAUAAGUUCAUGACAUUCCAGAUCGUUAUCACUGUACUUGGAAAACAGACAUUUACCAUAGCAAUUUAAAUGAUUCAUCGAAAAUGGUAACUGUUUAUUAGUUCCACUGUACUUUUUUUUGACUUUGACUCCUCAUUUAAGGUUACAGUUACUCAUGAGUUUCAAUUAACGCGCUUUGCGCCAUUAGUCAUUAUCAUCAACGCAUAACCAAUUUACCGACUCUCGAGAUGAGAUCACUCCAAAACUAUUAUAAUGUAUUGUAAUUAGUUUGUUCGCCAACGUGACACGGUGUUUAUUGUUUUAAGCGUGUUGUGGAAAAAUAAUACAUUUAUAGCGCGGGCCUCCUAAUGUGUUUGUGCUGCUGCUGCUGCUGGUAAAAAACAAACGGAAAAUGCUUUUCUCCUGCUUCGUUUUUUAUUUCGACAGCAAUAACAAUUUCCGUUUCCGUUGUUAUUCCACCUGUGACGUCAUCCCCGAACUACCGUUGUUGAGAGAAACCCCAUUUUCUGGCGGCCAUUUGUUCGUCAGGUGAGUGAGUGCGAUAAAUACAUACAUAGCUGCAUAAUGGCCACCUGCUGGCUCACUCCCACACGCACACACUCACACGAAAAACCCGUUAUCUCUGAAGCCAUCGUGAAGUCAGGCUAUCUCCGUUCCUCUCUAACGCUCUUAAUCAGGUUGUUUGGUUGUAAACCGCAAUACGCCUACCUAGAAAUCGUAGAACCACAGAACCUAGAAAUGGAACAGUAGUAAUGCGUUUCGAUGAAAAAUUUUUGUAAGCCGAUCUAACCGAAAAACCUAUUCGUAUUGUAUCCAAAACUAGUACUUUAAAAAGCGUUGGUAAAAUUAAUAGAUAUUGGGAAAAUGUUCUUUAGAUUUUAUAUUUAUAAUCACAAAAUCUCUAUACUCUUAAGCAUAAACAACCUUAACACAAUAAAUGAAAAUCUUAAGUAAUUUAUAAAUCGAAUAACCAGAUCCAACUAUCGAAGACCCACUGUACACACCUCCCAGAGCGGACAUUAAACCGCAGCUCCACAAUGAACGCGCUUUGUUGUCGUCGGCGUUAUCAAUUAAAUGUAAAACGAGGCGCAGCGCAAACGAAAUGGAAAUGAAAAUGGCAGCCGUGAGAUACUACACCACUCACACAGAUACUAUGUACAGAUACUUUAUAUAUAUGUAUGUACCUAUAGUGCACACGUUUACAAAAGGUAAGUUCCAUUUGUGAUGCGUCAGCCGGAUUCUUCUUAUGCGCUUUUGUUGUUACAGUUUGCUAUUAUUAUAUUUGCGAUGAGCGGAAAUGCCAAUUGAAGCUACCUUUAACAAAGCCCCAUGAAGAUGCCCGCCCCCGGGGGUUAACUGAUGGACUGAUGGAUGGAUGGGUGAACUUAUGGACAAACGGAGGGACUGUGUGCAUGACUCAAGUGUAUUUCAGGGGAGCCACUCGAGCCAAAGUUGAAAAUUGAUUGAUUCCACUAAGCGAAUGGGCCGCGCACAUGGAAAUGGAAGCUAAAACCACUCGAGUGUUCAAGGUACAGUCUAACCUCGGUGGCAUUAUUGUCGAUAAGCCACGCGUACGUGCGUACUACGUCCGUCCGUACCGCUCGUUUCCCUCCUUCACCACAUGUUGCUAGCUGCUUAAUUAAUUAAAUUUCAUCUGAACUGUUCGAAAUGUAAGAGGAUGAAGCGAUUGAGAAGAGUACACGCGAAAAAAGUAUACGACUUAUGGAAUUCUUAAACAAGAUUUGACCUUAGGCAGCACCAUUUGGUCCUUCAAGCCGAAACCCCAGCAAAAGUUACGCAUCUAGUUUCAAUUGUUCGAUUGCAUGGGAACAACAAUUUUGAGUAUUUAAUUCAUUAACGCUUGUAACGAACUUAUUUGUAUAUUUAUAAUCUAGUCCUAUUUUUCCUCCGUGUACUUUCACUAUUCACCUUAAAGUUCCACUAAUAUUCGUGGUAUUUCAGAGCGCUGAUAAGAACGCACUAUCUGCUUACUCAAUCGAUUCCUAAAAGGCGCGUGUGCUCGUAAACAAAGCAGAUCAGGGUCGAGAACUAGGAUGGAAAGUACGGAUUAGUCAGCGAACACAAUAACUAACCCCUGCCCUGCCUAUCUCUAGUGUUUGCAGAUAACCUCGAUCAGAGUUCCCAAAAAUCGAACCGGAAACUAGCGACCACACACAGCGGCAUCUUGUCUUCAAAGCGCUCGUCAAGUUUAAUUGUACCGAGCAUCUCAUGUGCGGAUGGUCCAGCGGUUGCAUUUCAGCCUGGCUAAUUGCAGGCGACAAGCCUUUUGGCUAUAAUUAUAACGCAACGUAGGUGGGCGCCUGUUUGGACCAGGCCAAAAAUGCCCAAACCCCAAGCCCCAAAAUCGUAGACAAAUCAAACGAACGAGAUCAGCAAAGAUAAUGUCUUGUCGCAGACAGAGAGCUAAUUUGUGAACGUAUUUCACGAUUGCUCGCUGAACAAAUGCUUUAUGCAGUGAGUGACAUGGGAAUUUGGCCAUAAUAGCGCGCAUAAUUGGCCGUAAAAGAUGAUCGACCAAAGGGAGAUCGUUCGGCUUUCAAAGUGUCAACCCCAAAGGCAAGCAAACAAUGCUGACAAAAUACCAUGCGAUGUCGAGGUGGGAGAAUAUUAUGUAUGGAUACAGUGGUGCUCGAGGAUGUAUAGAUUUUGUGGAAAUAUGUUAUAGUUUAGAGCAGAAUACUUCAGUUUGGGAUUUAAAAAUAAAAUUAAAAUCUUGCCAAUUUAGUUUUGAAAACGUUAUCAAAAUAUCAACAAAUCGGUAGAUUCAUUUUUAAACUAAACUUUGUAUUGCAAGUAAAAGACCAAAUAUUUUAGAAAUAUAUAUAAGAACCUUUAAGUUUCGAAACGCACUGUAUUUUGUUUGUCCACACAGACUUGUCUAUAUUGUAUCUGAUAGAUAUAGUGGCGCACCUGUCGCCUGACGAAAUGCGUAAACAAAAAUAACAACAAGCGACAAGCUCAAAGUUUUCUGCUUCUGUUUUUGUUUUAUUCUAUGUGAUUCUUUUUGAGGUCAGGCGAAAAAAAAAAAAACAAAAAUUAUUAACGACGCCACAAAGAAAUGUUUAGCGCAAAAAGAUGAAACGAAAGAGAGGAUGCGAGUGAAAAAUACGACGAACAUAAUGAUGUCUGAUCUCUAACUGCCUUAUAGCGAAAUACGCGACCCAAUUUUUGUCGCUUAUCGCAUCGCAGCUGCCGACGCACAGGAAAAUAGAGCUGAAAGAAUGUGGACUACGAGUGAUUAGGGUUUUCAAAUGAAUGAAUCCCCAAGUCGGGCCAUUGACGUACCUUUUAAGCGGAGACGGAGAGAGAACUAAUUGUAGUACCUCGUGGAAUCAAAAAGGUUAGUGGGGGUUAUCGUUAUCGCCACAAAUCGCGCCUGGGAAUGAAAAACCUGAUAAUACGGAGGUUCAGCUUCGGCCUGGACUUCAGAUCGGUUAAUUUGUUAUUAAUAUUGCGCUAGAACAAUGAGUGAUUUUAUUACGUAUUGCUGGGCGGGUUCAUUAACUUUCCUCGGCGCGAUCAUCUCUGCAUUAAUUCCAUUGGGAAAUUGAUUAACACGCGCCGUUAACAGGGAAAUACUUUUAGCCAUUGCGGUCACUUUGCUGCCGCAUUUCUCAAUAUUUUAUGGCCAGUUGGCUUUGUGCAGACUACAAAAAAUAUCUGCAGCAGCGUUGGGAUUUAAAAUUAUUAAUUUUCCAUAAAUCAUCUCGAGUUCAUCGCGGGCUCUGGGAAAACUUUUUGAACUGAAAUUCUGUUUCUGUUUCGGUUUCGUUUUCGAUUUUCAUUCGCCAACGCAGCGACAAAUCAAAUUUAAUUGUUUAUAAAUAAAACGUUUUUCUCAAUGAUGAUGAUGCCCUGAAUUUUCCCGCCGACAAGAGACCUGCGAAAUUAGUUGCGUAUUAGGAAAACAUAAAUUAGACGAUGCCGCGGAAUAAAUUAAAUUUAUCACUCUUUAUAAAGGCCCGAGUCUUGGGAAAUUAAGAAACGUGUCGUGGAUAAUUAAGAUUUUUAAAUCUGGCAGCUGCUACGCUUACUUUUGUAUAUUCAAAACAUCUUUAUCAAACUUGUUUCAGUGCAACUUGAGCUUUUUAAUAGUUAUCUUUUCAGAGAAAUAUAUAUUUUUUUUUAAUUUUGUCUGUUUUUUUUUUUUUUAAGACCUUCGUGACAGUUUAAGUCGUUAUCACUUUUAGCUGGAAUUGUUUUUAAUAUACGAGUGUCUCAGGAAUUGAAUUUGAUUCACUAUUUCCUUUUAAUUAUUUGCGCAAUAGUUUUUAAUAAUUGAUCUUAAGUCUUUUAGGUUUUAUAAAAACAAAAAAAUCUUGAAAAUGUUUAAUCAUUAAAUGUCCAUUUAAGAAUUUCCAUUGAAAUCAUUUACAACUGCAAUUUGUUAGUUAUCUAGAAACUUUUCUCAGGAGUCAUCUUCAAGUGCAAUCUCUUCUCACAAUCAGACUGCCCAAUGAAAUGUCAAGUGCUCAAGUACUAUAGUACCAUAUACUUUACCGCCAACUUUUCAAUUCCCUUUCUCCCUUCGCAGCAGAGCAUUUCUCAUUAAACAUAUCAAGUAACAACCGCACAAUAAACGUCACAAGUGAAAAAACCCACGGGACUUGCAGCGAGGAAAAUUCAGAGCAGUCGAGGGAGAUAUCGUCUGAGGAAUUUCCAUGUGAGAAUCUGCGCCACAAGCGGAGCCACAUAAUUUAUGGCCCUCACGGUGAAAGUUGAUAUAAAUCAGGAGUAACUUAAAAAUGAAAGAAUGAACCAAGAAAACCGAAAGUAAGGGACAAGAAGUUUAAAUUAUAGUCGACCGGCUGACAUGUGGAAAAGUGCAGGUGAAAACUGGGAAAACCAGGAGGGGAUAUCCUUAAGGAAACAGGAACUCCCAAUGAUGAUGAUGAUGAUGAUGUGUUAAGGGGAAUGGGAAACAUAAGAAAUGAUCUUAAGACAGGGGUUUUCUUUUAAGAACCUAAAGUGGAAAUGGAGAUGCUUCAAUAUUGUGAGCAGAAAUUAUUUUUUUGUCAACUAAUUACAGUCAUUGAAAAAUAAUUCAAAAGGCAUUAGUUUGCUUUUAUGUUUACUCUUACUUAUUAUCGUCAUAUAGUGAAAUAUUUUCCAAUUAAUUAUGAUACUUUAUAUGUUAUUUAAAACCCACUGACAAUAAAUUGUAACUUCGUUUUGUUUAAAUCGCCGCAUUGAGAAAGUUUUUUAAUUUGUUUGCUUUAAUUGCGAAUAAUUUUGAAACUUUCAACAGCAGUAAAUACCCGUUCCCCUUCACCUUUGACCUUACAGUGUCCGCAGAAAUACAUAAAAAAACCUAUUUAAAAGUGGGUAGACAAACAAGUAAAAGGGUUGAGCGAAAGGGGCUUGAAAUAAAUUGCUAUUAAUUUUUCACUCGCUCGGUUCGUCAAGCGGCGCCGAAAAGACGACGACCCAUGUGGUUGUGAACUCGCAGGACUCGCAGGAUUCGCAGGACUACACCUAAAGUGCAUAUAAUUUUUCAAUUUGAAUUGUCUGCCCUGCUCCAUUUUGUGGCGGCCAAAAAGGUGGCAACCGGAAGUGGAAAAGCAGCAAACCAACCCACCAAAUGAGUUGUGGCCAAAAAGUUGCAGCCAUGUGCGUUUGCAGUUAAGCAAAUAUUUAAUUGCUGCACUUUUUCUGUUGAAAGUUGGCCAGGACCUCCGUGCUUUUUUUUGUUUUUUUUUCUGUUUUGCUUUUGCCCAUAAUUUAUGGCCUGCCAUUUGCUCGACCGUCUGCCCCUUUUUUGACUCUUUCCCUGGUUAAUGAUGUUGACCUUAACAACAAAUGUUAAAUGUUGCAUCAACAAUGUUGGCCACCAAUACGGAUUGAUAUCCCCUGUCCCCCCGUUUUAAUGCUUUUUCAAUAAAACGGGGGGAAAAAGGCAUUUUGUUGCCUACUUUUGUGAGUCGACAGCCUGAUUUCCAUAAUGAGCCAUUUGUCUCACUGGCGACGGCGGCAUUAUUGUUAUUUCUGGCACUGUUUUUGUUUGCUGCAUAAUUAAUUGUUUUCACACAUAAUAAUUUAAUACGGCGAACACGUGUAAAGCCAUUGGCCAACAAUAUUAAAUAAAUGCAAUGUGCCACAUCAAUUAUAAUUGGUCUGUGUUCGUACGGAGUUUCGGGGCGAGUAGUUUGCCUAUUUGGCCAUGUGUCAAUGCGGUUGUUGCCAUUUUGGCCUUUUCGCAUGUGUUUAAAUGUUUAAAUGUCAUUAACAAAGCCGUAAAUUAUAUGCACCCGAAACCGGGCACCCGCCCAAAAGGUAUAAAAAAGGAGUUGCAACUCAUAAACCUGCUACUCAGCGUUCGAGUUUGGCCAACUUUAUUAGCUUUUUGCCAGGCUGGCAAUCAUCGCAGCUUAGGUAAAUAUUAAUAACCGACAGGCAGUCCUAAAAAAAGCCAAAAACAAGUAAAGGAAGCGAGAUUGUACAGUGGCUGUCAAUGUGGAAAUGGUCAAGGAAAAUUGUUUAAUUUUUGUGGAACACCAUAUGAAGUUAUAUAAUAUAUUCGAUGCUUGAAUGGAUAACAUAAUAAAUUAAUCAAGUUAAAAGAAAAUAAGUAAACGUUAAAGCUAUCUUCAUAACGAUUGAUUUUUUUUGAAUAUAAUACAUAUUUUUAUGUUUCAGUAUCAAGUCUUUUGAAAAUGUUCCACUGUUUCCCGAAAAAAUCAGAAAUCUCAUCUCAUAUUUUUUCGGGGUGGUGUCAAACUUUUUCAUUUCACUUGUGCUCACAUAUAGGGAAGGUAAAAGAUGAGCCCCCGCCCCAAAAAAAAGAACACCAUACACGAAAAACAACAACAAACUAGCCAUAUGAAUUUAUGACCAACGGAGGGGGUUGGACCAAAAGUUUUGGUCGGGGGCGCUUUUCUGUAUUUGUGUACUGGGGGAGUGCAACAAAAUUAUAAUUUAUGUGGCUUUAAUAGCCGCUGGGUAGCUCCAAGGUGAACCAGUCUGUGGAUACUGUUGUCCCUCACUUUUCUCUUAGACCCCUGACCCCUGACCCCUGACCCAUCCCCUGACUUUCUCCUUAUCGCGUGUGUGACGUCUGAAACAGGCUUGGGUUCUCCGUUUUUUUUUUUUUUUACAGCCUACCAUAUAUGGCAAAAGAUGGCGACGAAGGACAAGAGAAAAAACGAAGGCAUAAAGAAAAAAAAAACAAGUGGGCGGAGGCGUGUGGUUAGGUGUUAUCAGGUUCCACUUGCCUGUAGCAACAUUUAUUUUAAUGCCUUAUCACAAUAGCAGGCCUUAGAAAAAAAAUAUAAGAAACAACAACUGCACAAUUGGGAGUUAUGAGCGUGUGACUGACAGUAUCCCCCAUAUUUUUAUAUACGUUUUUUUUUUACAUAUACAUUUAUGCCCCCUUCUGAUAACACCCCCAAUUGUUUUUCUCCGUCGUCGUCAUUGGGGAAUUUUCGUUUUUACUAUUUUUUCCUUUAGUUCGGUGAACGCCUACGUUUUAUUUUUAUGCCUCUUAUCAUAGUUGUACCGCUGUUGUUGUUGUUGUUGCUUCAGACCGAUAAAACAAAAGUUGAAUGCAGGCAGGCAGGCGCUAGGCGAUAAAAAUAAGGUUCGUUUCUUAAACGUUUCUUUAGCAGUAUUGUAAUGCUUGCACAGAAAAAAAAUGUAUAAAAAAGUAAUGAACGAUAUGAUAUUUGUUACAUAAAACUAUUCAACUUGAUGAAAUAUAUUUAUUCUCAAAUGAAAUAAAAUUAAUGAGCUCUGAGUCAGUCUCGCAGUCGCUUUCAAAACAAAAUUAAUGUUGUUAUUAAAUUAAAAUUUAUCUGCAUUUUUUUUUUUGGUUAGGGGAUUUACACGAUUUGUCAACAGGAAAUAUGCAUAAGGUUUGCCUGGGGAUCUCGAGACUCUCGAAUGGGAUAGGAUUGAAUUGGAUUCUGUACUUGGCACCGCUGUCCCGUUAUCGGUUAGCUCAUUUCCCGUUAGCCGAGAACAAAGCCCACGCAUUGUACGCGCCGUGAUGUGUUCAAAGAUCAAGUGCCCCCCAAGUACCGACCCCUCCCCCUCCCUCUCCCAACCUUAUUUUUUACAUUUUUUGUUCCAAGUCGGAGUCUGAUUAUGCAUGAGUAACAGUCCACGAACCUUAACACGUAAGACUUAAAAGAAGAACAAGUAACUCUGCUAUCAGCUCUUCCAAGAACUCAUAUCCUCUCACAGCAUUAUUCAGGUUUAGUCACUGGUGACAGGGGUUUUUGUUCUGAUUAUCUUCGAGGGAGUAGUUUUAAAGAGGGGUUUUCAUAAAUAUUAUUAUUAUAGCAAUAGCAAUUUUUCUGGCAUGUAGAUAUUUCUUAGAAAUAUUUGGAAACACGCCUUUUAAAUAAAUGUAUUUUAUGUUUAUAAAUUGAAAGAACAUAAUUCAAGAAUUGGUUAAUGUAAAUUUUACUAUAAUCAAUUUAAGAAUUAGUUAAUAAAUCAUUUAAUGUAAAAGUAUUUUUAUUUUCUUUUGGUUUCUUUAAUUUGUUUGCUUUACUUUUCUCAUAAAAAGAAGUUUGCAAACUUGAUGUAAUUAAUUUAUAUGGAGACUAAAAAUAAGUAUUUAAUCUUUAAAUAAAAAAUAUAGCGGGUUUUGUCUAUUUGUUGAAAUUAUUAAUUUAGGCAUUUGCUUCGAAUAAUAUGACUUUUAAAAUAUUUUAGGACAGCUAAAGCUUAAAAGUUGUAGUUCUUGACUAUUAUUUUUUUACCAAAAACUGACUAAAACACAUAGUUUUUCAUGGGAACUUUACUAAUAUAAAUUCAA